GACAGGCAAAGGGACAGAAGGACGGUGAGAAAGAUAUACAGCAUGUAGCGGAAUGGCCAACAGACGGAGACAGCCAAAGUGACCGCAGCGUUUGAGGGGAUCGCAGCCAGACGGUGUUUUCAGCUGCGUCUCCAUCAGACUGUCAGCAGAGAGACAACAAGACAAAGAACGUGUGAAAGGGGGCGAGAGCAAAGGAGCAGCGGUGGGAUGGAAACGCACGGGCAGAGUGACGUGCGCGUAUGAGAUGGGGGUCGGGAUUGAUGGCGUGAAAAGAGGCCGCCUCUCCAAACACUCGGGAACGUGAGAAAGAACCUGCGCGCAGCAACGAUCUGAAGCGAGGUCAGCUGCUAGCUGCACAACUUCGAUGAUUCACAAACUCCAUCGCUGCGGGCGAGCGCGGUCGAUACAGAGAUGAGGUGCAGAGAUUUAGAGAUAGCGGGAGGAAGGUGUGAAGACGGAGAGAGAAAAGCAAUAACGGAGGAAAGAAAACAAGCUUUCGAAGAAAUUCGGGAUUCA